UUAAAUCGAUUGAAAGGACAACGAAUCUUAUCACCAUUUAAAUAAUUUGGGCAGUUCUUAGCAUUCUCUAUAAAUUCAUUGAUUCCCUCUAAAAAUCUGGGGUUCAGUAAACCCUCUCCGAGACGGGCAUACAUUCAACUUCUUUCAGUAGACAUAUUAACUACAAUAACUAUGCUGAUAUUAAAACAUAAUACUUAUAAACCCUAUCAUCGAAUGGAGCUUGAAAAGUAGGAAUUAAGUUAUGUAUUAUAUGCAAAAUAUGCAGUAAUAAUAUCAAUUUUCCUUGGGAGGAUAAAGAUGUAAAAAAUGCAGUAAUAAUACAAAAAUUUGUAUUACAUGUUAAUUAAUUAAUAAUUUCUUAAUCUCCAC
rnacentral:lncRNA from 1 species